rnacentral:lncRNA from 1 species
AAGUCUUACUUGAGGAUGCUCUGAGCACCUGGCUGUGGAAGAUAGAAUAGAAAUUGCAACAAAAAAAUCCUAAUUCUAAAAGAAUACUAACAAUGCUAAAUAAGCUUUAAUCAAAUUUAGAAAAACCUCAAAGGAAUUCCAAAGAAAUAAUAAGAAAUCUUAAAGAAAUAUUAAAAUGAUUACAAACAUAUCUCAAAUACAUCUCAAUUCAAUUUUAAUUUAAUCUUAGUUGAAAUCUUACUUUAUUCAAACUUUAGGUUAAAAACUAACUAAAUCUUAAAUCCUAAAUAAAUUAAAAUAAAAUCUUAAAUCCUAAAUCAAAUCUUGAUCAAAUCUUAAUCAAACUUUAAACCCUAAACCAAAUCCUAAACCAAAUCCUAAACCUUAAAUCAAACCCUAACCAAAUCUUAAUCCUAAAUCAAAUCCUAACCAACCCUAAAUCAAAUCCUAACUAAAUUCUAACCUUAAAUCAAAUCCUAAUCAAAUCCUAAAUCCUAAAUCAAAUCUCAAUCAAAUCCUAAUCCUAAAUCAAAUCCUAAAGCAAAUCUUAAAUCCUAAACUAAAUCCUAAACCUUAAAUCAAAUCUUAAUCUUAAAUCAAACCCUAACCAAAUACUAAUCAAAUUCUAAUCCUAAAUCGAAUCCUAAUCAAAUCUUAAUCCUAAUUCUAAAUCCUAAAUCAAACCCUAACCAAAUCCUAAUCCUAAAUCAAGUCCUAA